rnacentral:tRNA from 1 species
GUGGUCGUAGCUCAAUUGGUAGAGCCCCGGGUUGUGGUCCCGGUGGUUGUGGGUUCGAGUCCCAUCGACCACC